AGAGGCAGAUGAUUCUGGACUGAGAGCAGUCUCACUCCCUGAUUUGAAUCUUGGCUCCAUCAUUUACUGUUUUAGGUUUCUUCCUGCCAUGGGCUUCUGGGCUGUGCUCUGGCUUUGUUCCUGCUUAUCACCUCCAUCGAUCAAUCAAAUACUCUGUUUGAAUCCCAUGGAACCCAGAAAUGAAGCUUGAUUAUUUUCAGGGAGAAGAAUGAUCUCAAACAUGUGACUUGAAGCGACCAAGAAAGCAAAGAACACCUGCUAACUGAAAAGGGACAAAAUGUGAGGACCUGAUCCCUCGAUCCUCACUGUGGCCAUUUCCCCCUCUGCUUUUAAUCUACAGGUGCCUAGGUUUGAGGGGCACAUGCAGUGACAUCAGGAUGCUGCCUCUCUAGCUUUUGAAUCUGCUUCGUCAAAUUUCUUCCUUCUCAGGGAAAUGGAUGCUGGGAAUAUACUCAUCCUAACAAACUGCUCAGUUCUCACUGUGGGGGCUCCGAAGAUAAUCACUCUGGAAGAGGAGAGUUCAACACCAGGAUGUUCUCCACGGUUCAGGACAGUUCAUGCAAAUAACACCAGGAACACUGUUCCUGUAAUUAAGCUACAGUACCACUAGGAGGCAGUAUUGGGAUGCACCCACUGGCUCCAAUACUGUAUGAAUCAUCAUAUGCCUCCAUUCUGGAUGAGCCAUCCCAAACCUCCUUCAGCAUAAAGAAGUAGAACAAAGCUCACAUCACGCCAUUUCCACUGCUCAGAUGGGAGAAUACCCUUUUUGGUCCAUUCUUCUGACUUCUGAGCUCCAUGGGUGACAAGGACAGUACACACCCACCCACGACUGUGAGGGAGUGUGCCUGGAGUGCCCAGCUCUAAAUGAAAAUCAAGACAAAUGGCAGAGGCAAAGAAGGCCAGAAUGGAUAGAUGCUGAUGUACGGGGAGCCAUUUUUCACAGGCAGGUAAUUUUGGUUCACCCGGGCACUUUGCGCCAGGGCGUCCAUUUACGGACGGACGACAUGGAGUAUUUUUCAGGGCGGAGGGUGAGGCUCAAAUCUCUUGAAUCUGAAUCUAUCCCGCGGCCUCCUCAUCUUUCCCAGUUUGGAGAGUCCUCUACCGAAAUUGCAAGUAAGUGAUGACAUGCGAGUGCGGACGGAGGAGAAU